rnacentral:rRNA from 1 species
CCUACGUGCGGCAGCAGUGAGGAAUAUUGGUCAAUGGGCGCGAGCCUGAACCAGCCAAGUAGCGUGAAGGGUGACUGCCCUACGGGUUGUAAACUUCUUUUAUAAAGGAAUAAAGUGAGGCACGUGUGCCUUUUUGUAUGUACUUUAUGAAUAAGGAUCGGCUAACUCCGUGCCAGCAGCCGCGGUAAUACGGAGGAUCCGAGCGUUAUCCGGAUUUAUUGGGUUUAAAGGGAGCGUAGAUGGGGUGUUAAGUCAGUUGUGAAAGUUUGCGGCUCAACCGUAAAAUUGCAAUUGAUACUGGCAGUCUUGAGUACAGUUGAGGUAGGCGGAAUUCGUGGUGUAGCGGUGAAAUGCUUAGAUAUCACGAAGAACUCCGAUUGCGAAGGCAGCUUACUAAACUGCCACUGACAUUGAUGCUCGAAAGUGUGGGUAUCAAACAGGAUUAGAUACCCUUGUAGUC